GACGAACGCUGGCGGCGUGCUUAACACAUGCAAGUCGAACGGUGAAGCCCUUCGGGGUGGAUCAGUGGCGAACGGGUGAGUAACACGUGAGCAACCCGCCCCUGGCUCUGGGACAACCACUGGAAACGGUGGCUAAUACCGGAUACGACCCGCCUCGGCAUCGAGUGUGGGUGGAAAGUUUUUCGGCUGGGGAUGGGCUCGCGGCCUAUCAGCUUGUUGGUGAGGUGAAGGCUCACCAAGGCGACGACGGGUAGCCGGCCUGAGAGGGCGACCGGCCACACUGGGACUGAGACACGGCCCAGACUCCUACGGGAGGCAGCAGUGGGGAAUAUUGCACAAUGGGCGAAAGCCUGAUGCAGCGACGCCGCGUGAGGGAUGACGGCCUUCGGGUUGUAAACCUCUUUCAGCUCCGAAGAAGCGAAAGUGACGGUAGGAGCAGAAGAAGCACCGGCUAACUACGUG
rnacentral:rRNA from 1 species